CCCGCAACGAGCGCAACCCUUAUCCUUUGUUGCCAGCGGUCCGGCCGGGAACUCAAAGGAGACUGCCAGUGAUAAACUGGAGGAAGGUGGGGAUGACGUCAAGUCAUCAUGGCCCUUACAACCAGGGCUACACACGUGCUACAAUGGCGCAUACAAAGAGAAGCGACCUCGCGAGAGUAAGCGGACCUCAUAAAGUGCGUCGUAGUCCGGAUUGGAGUCUGCAACUCGACUCCAUGAAGUCGGAAUCGCUAGUAAUCGUGGAUCAGAAUGCCACGGUGAAUACGUU
rnacentral:rRNA from 1 species